rnacentral:rRNA from 1 species
AACGAACGCUGGCGGCGUGUUUAGGACAUGCGAGUCGCACGGGAUAAGACAUGUAGUAAUACUUGUUUUAUUUAGUGGCGCACGGGUGAGUAACACGUGAAUUACAUGCCCUAUAGUGGGGAAUAGCCCAGGGAAACUUGGAUUAAUACCCCAUGGUAUCGAAAGAUUAAAGGUGGCCGCAAGGCUGUCGCUAUAGGAUUGGUUCGCGCCCUAUCAGCUUGUUGGUGAGGUAACGGCUCACCAAGGCAAUGACGGGUACCUGGUCUGAGAGGACGAUCAGGCACACUGGAACUGAGACACGGUCCAGACACCUACGGGUGGCAGCAGUCGAGAAUAAUUCACAAUGGGGGCAACCCUGACGGUGCAACGCCGCGUGGAGGAUGACGGUCUUCGGAUUGUAAACUCCUGUCAUCUGGGAGAAAGACCUGACGGUAAAUAGCCGGCAGGGUUGAUAGUACCAGAAGAGGAAGGGACGGCUAACUUCGUGCCAGCAGCCGCGGUAA